rnacentral:tRNA from 1 species
GCCCAGGUAGCUCAGUCGGUAGAGCAAAGGACUGAAAAUCCUUGUGUCGGCGGUUCGAUUCCGUCCCUGGGCACCA